rnacentral:tRNA from 1 species
GUCCCUGUAGUGCAAUGAAUAGCGUGUUGGAUUUGUUAUCCAAAGGUCGUGGGUUCGAAUACCACCUGGGAUG